UAUGGGUUGAUGUAAUAGUAACAUACUUAGCUCAUGACCAAGAUUUAAAGGUGCAAAUCCUUUAUCCGUAU